rnacentral:sRNA from 1 species
AAAGGUAAAGAAGAAGAAAAAAA